rnacentral:lncRNA from 1 species
AAGCACGAUCGAUCGCUGUUCAUGACAUUUCAGAAGACUUUUACCCCAUUGCCUACUCCUCCUCAAGGUAUAUUAAAAAAAAUCAAGUUAUUUAUCCACGUUUAACACGUGUAAUAUUUCUUUUAUAAUUCUUUAAUACUUAUGUCUUUUUAAAAGCGUGUUUUCUUAGUACUAUAUUUUACAUAAAAUUACAUCAUUUAAUUAUUGUAUUUACAUGAAUGCAGAAAGAAGCUUGGAGCGAGAAACAAAAAUAAAUUUAUAAUCCAAGCACUCCGAGGAGUAAAAAUUGAGCUAAGAUUGCACCCUCUCGCAGAACUACAUCAAGGCUGCAAUUUCAGCUCUAUGUGUAUAUCAAGAACAGGAGGGAGUUAAAAGUGCCUGUAGAUUCUACAGAAUCAAAUGGAAAUUACCUAGAUUUCACCUCAACCAGUUAUUGGAAACCCCCCCGGAUAUAUGUUACAAAUUAAGAGGGCAAUAUUGGGUUUUCAUUUUUGUAACUAAUAUGUUGUCUAU